ACCUAAAGAAGAAGCACCGGCUAACUAUGUGCCAGCAGCCGCGGUAAUACAUAGGGUGCAAGCGUUGUCCGGAAUUAUUGGGCGUAAAGAGCUCGUAGGUCGUUUGUUACGUCGGAUGUGAAAACCUGAGGCUCAACCUCAGGCCUGCAUUCGAUACGGGCAAACUAGAGUUUGGUAGGGGAGACUGGAAUUCCUGGUGUAGCGGUGGAAUGCGCAGAUAUCAGGAGGAACACCAAUGGCGAAGGCAGGUCUCUGGGCCAUUACUGACACUGAGGAGCGAAAGCGUGGGGAGCGAACAGGAUUAGAUACCCUGGUAGUCCACGCCGUAAACGGUGGGCACUAGUUGUGGGAACCUUCCACGGUUUCUGCGACGCAGCUAACGCAUUAAGUGCCCCGCCUGGGGAGUACGAUCGCAAGAUUAAAACUCAAAGGAAUUGACGGGGCCCCGCACAAGCAGCGGAGCAUGCGGCUUAAUUCGACGCAACGCGAAGAACCUUACCAAGGCUUGACAUAUAGGGAAAAGUGGCAGAGAUGUCAUGUCCGCAAGGGCUCUAUACAGGUGGUGCAUGGUUGUCGUCAGCUCGUGUCGUGAGAUGUUGGGUUAAGUCCCGCAACGAGCGCAACCCUCGUUCUGUGUUGCCAGCAUUUAGUUGGGGACUCACAGGAGACUGCCGGGGUUAACUCGGAGGAAGGUGGGGAUGACGUCAAAUCAUCAUGCCCCUUAUGUCUUGGGCUGCACGCAUGCUACAAUGGCCGGUACAGAGGGCUGCAAUACCGUAAGGUGGAGCGAAUCCCAAAAAGCCGGUCUCAGUUCGGAUUGAGGUCUGCAACUCGACCUCAUGAAGUUGGAGUUGCUAGUAAUCGUAGAUCAGCAACGCUACGGUGAAUACGUUCCCGGGGCUUGUACACACCGCCCGUCACGUCACGAAAGUCGGUAACACCCAAAGUUAGUGGCCCAACCGCAAGGGGGGAGCUACCUAAGGUGGGAUCGGUGAUUGGGACGAAGUCGUAACAAGGUAGCCGUACCGGAAGGUGCGGCUG
rnacentral:rRNA from 1 species